UCAUAAUACUUUAAAAGUUAAAACAUUAAUGUUGUAGGUAUAAGUGAUGCGUUGUUUUAAGUAUUUCUUUAUGCACAAUUUUGUUAAGUAAGGCUUAGAGCGUCGAAUGUUUGAAAUGUUUGGUCAUAAUUACACAUGGUAUUUACGCAGGUAUCACUCCGCCAGAAAAGUAGAGACCUGUGUACGUGUUUCAUGUUUCCAACAAAGGUAUGUGGAUUUGUGUAUUAUUGUUAUUUUUUUGUGAUAAAACGUUUUUGUUAUUGUAAUUAAAAUUAUUAUUUUUAUUUGAAUGAAUGUUGUUUACUUCGUCUUCUAUCGGACUUUUGAUGAUGAGGUAAUAGUUCUUCAUUGCUCUGUGUUUCUUGUGUAUCACUCCGCCAGAAAAGUAGAGACCUGUGUAUGUGUUUCAUGUUUCCAACAAAGACUUUUGAUGAUGAGGUAUCACUCCGCCAGAAAAGUAGAGACCUGUGUAUGUGUUUCAUGUUUCCAACAAAGGUAUGUGGAUUUGUGUAUUAUUAUUAUUUUUAUUUGUGAUAAAACGUUUUUGUUAUUGUAAUUUAAAUUAUUAUUUUUAUAUGAAUGAAUGUUGUUUACUUCCUCUUCUAUCGGACUGUUGAUGAUGAGGUAUCACUCCGCCAGAAAAGUAGAGACCUGUGUAUGUGUUUCAUGUUUCCAAGAAAGGUAUGUGGAUUUGUGUAUUAUUAUUUUUUUUUUGUGAUAAGACGUUUUUGUUAUUGUAAUUUAAAUUAUUAUUUUUGUAUGAAUGAAUGUUGUUUACUUCCUCUUCUAUCGGACUUUUGAUGAUGAGGUAAUAGUUCUUCAUUGCUCUGUGUUUCUUGUGUAAAUAUUAUUUCUAAACUUUCAUAAUACUUCAAAAGUUAAAACAUUAAUGUUGUAGGUAUAAGUGAUGUGUUGUUUUAAGUAUUUCUUUAUGCACAAUUUUGUUAAGUAAGGAUUAGAGUGUCGAAUGUUUGAAAUGUUUGGUCAUAAUUACACAUGGUAUUUACGCAGGUAUCACUCCGCCAGAAAAGUAGAGACCUGUGUAUGUGUUUCAUGUUUCCAACAAAGACUUUUGAUGAUGAGGUAUCACUCCGCCAGAAAAGUAGAGACCUGUGUAUGUGUUUCAUGUUUCCAACAAAGGUAUGUGGAUUUGUGUAUUAUUAUUUUAUUUUUUUGGUGAUAAAACGUUUUUGUUAUUGUAAUUUAAACUAUUAUUUUUGUAUGAAUGAAUGUUGUUUACUUACUCUUCUAUCGGACUUUUGAUGAUGAGGUAUCACUCCGCCAGAAAAGUAGAGACCUGUGUAUGUGUUUCAUGUUUCCAACAGAGGUAUGUGGAUUUGUGUAUUAUUAUUAUUUUUUUGUGAUAAAACGUUUUUGUUAUUGUAAUUUAAAUUGUUAUUUUUAUAUGAAUGAAUGUUGUUUACUUCCUCUUGUAUCUGACUUUUGCUGAGGAGGUAAUAGUUCUUUAUUGCUCUGUGUUUCUUGUGUAAAUAUUAUUACUAAACUUUCAUAAUACUUUAAAAGUUAAAACAUUAAUGUUGUAGGUAUAAGUGAUGUGUUGUUUUAAGUAUUUCUUUAUGCACAAUUUUGUUAAGUAAGGAUUAGAGCGUCGAAUGUUUGAAAUGUUUGGUCAUAAUUACACAUGGUAUUUACGCAGUUAUCACUCCGCCAGAAAAGUAGAGACCUGUGUAUGUGUUUCAUGUUUCCAACAAAGGUAUGUGGAUUUGUGUAUUAUUUUUUUUUGUGAUAAAACGUUUUUGUUAUUGUAAUUUAAAUUAUUAUUUUUAUAUGAAUGAAUGUUGUUUACUUCCUCUUCUAUCGGACUUUUGAUGGUGAGGUAUCACUCCGCCAGAAAA